rnacentral:rRNA from 1 species
UGGGGAAUAUUGCACAAUGGGCGCAAGCCUGAUGCAGCCAUGCCGCGUGUGUGAAGAAGGCCUUCGGGUUGUAAAGCACUUUUGUCCGGAAAGAAAUCCUUGGCUCUAAUACAGUCGGGGGAUGACGGUACCGGAAGAAUAAGCACCGGCUAACUACGUGCCAGCAGCCGCGGUAAUACGUAGGGUGCAAGCGUUAAUCGGAAUUACUGGGCGUAAAGCGUGCGCAGGCGGUUUGCUAAGACCGAUGUGAAAUCCCCGGGCUCAACCUGGGAACUGCAUUGGUGACUGGCAGGCUAGAGUAUGGCAGAGGGGGGUAGAAUUCCACGUGUAGCAGUGAAAUUGCGUAGAGAUGUGGAGGAAUACCGAUGGCGAAGGCAGCCCCCUGGGCCAAUACUGACGCUCAUGCACGAAAGCGUGGGGAGCAAACAGGAUUAGAUACCCCUGGUAGUCCACGCCCUAGACGAUGUCAACUAGUUGUUGGGGAUUCAUUUCCUUAGUAACGUAGCUAACGCGUGAAGUUGACCGCCUGGGGAGUACGGUCGCAAGAUUAAAACUCAAAUGAAUUGACGGGGUCAUAGCUG